AGACUAAAAAAAAUGCUACCAUACUAAACAGCAGAGAAAUAGAGCCCGUGUGAGACAAAAGGCAUCAUUUUAAAAAUUGGAAGUCAAAUACAAGUGAGGACAAUAGAAAGGAGCAUAAACUCUGGCAAGUCGUGUGAAAGUAUAGUAAGGCAGGCCAAGAAAGAAUUUGAAGAUCAACUAGACAAGGAAACACAAACUAACAACAAAAGUAUUUGUAAGUACAGCAGACUCAGGAAGCCUGCCAAACAGUCAGGCCACUGGACAACUGAGCUGCUAAAGGAGCACCCAAGGAAAACAUGGCUGCCGCGGAGGAGCUAAACAGGAUGCAGAAGUUAUCCUGGCAAUUACUGGCAGUGACCACUAGAUUAAGUUAUCUCCCCUUGAUACAAGCAAAGCUCCUUGAGACACAUCUGGAGCUUCCUGCUGGUGUCCUGGGGCAUCCACAGCAAACCAGUCAGAAGACAGUCAAUGAGAGUGGAGCCAAGCCCAAAAACCAGAAGCGAACAAGCAAUUCACAAAGAGGGACAGUGCCAGUUUUAUUUCUCUCACCAAGAAACUAACGCAGCAAGAAUAGUAUCUGCUCAGAGAGAAACUCUCAGCUAUACUUCCUGCUUGAGCCAAGAGUUAGGGCAGAAAGGAGAAUGAUGCAAAGAAAGUGUUCCUUGGGAGAGAUGAUGUGUCUGUGCUUGUACCAAACCUCUGUAUUUGCAGCACAAUUGGUCAAAUGGGGAAAUCUUCAGCUGCACAACAGCACUUGGGACAAACAGUCCUGCUGAAAGCUGUGUGGCCCAGACAAGAGGUUCCAGGCUGAAAUUCCUUGUGACUUUCCCAGUUUAAAAAUAUUUAAUCACAAAGACCGAACUAGAAUCAGGGAAGAAGAGGAAUAAUUGAGUAUGAAGAAGUUAAAUAGUCUGAGUCCUAUUACUAAACCCUUGUUGGUUCAGCUUGGCACCUCCUCAAAGAAGAUAUAGCCAGGUGUGACUUAUAGGCACCUUUUGAUGGUGUUUCAGCUCUUGGCCCCUCACCAUAGUUCUGAGCUGUCUCCUGAAGACCAGGAGAGUAGUGAGCCUUGCAGGGCUUGCAAGGACAAUGGUGCAGAUGACACAGAGCAAGUGCCCAUCAUGUCUGGUUAGAUUCUGUCUCAUAGAACCUGCACAAGAGGCUACAAUAGGAAUUAGCAAGUCUAGCAUAGUGCUGGUCCCUUCAUUCCCACAAGAUCUCCUACAAGCGUCACCAGUGCAGUAUGAUCAUAGUGUCAAAGAUUGCAGAGCGCUCUAGCAGAAACUGCAGAGGGGUUUAGAUGUGGCUCAAGACCAACAAGGGAUGGUUCAUCAGCUGCAGCAAAACCGUCUCUGGGCAGUGUCAGACACCUAAUUAUAGUGAAUGCAGAAGAGAUGCCACUAGAACUUGGAUGCCAUCACUUUCUCAAUAGCUUUGCCGAAAAGAAAAGGAUAGAUGGUUAGGGUAAGUGUAAUGGCCUGUACUUUUUAAGGUGGCUCAUUGAUAUGCUCUGUAGGCAGCAUUGAUGAUGUCAGUAUGAGGCCCAGUUGUUCUUUGCUUGCAAGAGGGGCAGGGUGUCUAUGUCAUAUAUAACAAUCUGGACCCACCUCAGAGCUUCCAGGAGCCUGAGGAAUGUCGAUCCCCCCUCCCACCCCCGGCUGCCAUAUUAGUUACUGUGAAACUAGGGUGACCAGACAGCAAACGUGAAAAAUCUGGAUGGGGUAGGAGAUAAUAGGAGCUUAUACAAGAAAAAGACCCAAAAAUGAGGACUGUCCCUAUAAAAUUGGGACAUCUGGUCACGCUAUGUGAAACACAUGAGCUUUGGACGUGCAGUCACUGGCUGUGGUUGGUAAUGGCUAAUUAUUAGAGCAAGAAGCAGGGACUCAGGAAUCUGUCAUUCUAGUUCUUGGGCAGGUCCUUCCCCUGCUCUGUCCCUCUGUUUCCCCAAUCUGUAAAAUGGGGCUGAUGACUUUACUGAGCUCCAAGGAUUUGGUAAGACUGCUUUGAGAGCAUUAGAGUAGAGCAGAGAAUUAUUAUUAUUGUCAUCAGUGUGUGGUUGAAAGUGAAGAGCAUGAAGGAUCUUUUGCCCCUUACAGGGGAGGAGGCCAGCUUGUUGUUUUUCCUGGUUCUCUUAAAAAGAAACAACCAGCUGCUGUUGAUUUUACAUGUUAACCGAUUCAGCCCUAUAUUGUGGCUAGAGCUAGGCUUGGUGGUGGGGCUCCGGCUGCACCCAUGACAAUGCUGCACAAAGCAGCGCACAGGGAGCUCUGAACACUUGCAGCAGUUUCUGGGUCUUGCUAGAGUUGCAUCUCAGAAAUACUCAAGAGCAGAGUUUAUAUGGUGCCGCUGUGGGCCAAGGUGAGGGGGGCAUUAGGAAGCUUCAGAACUGAAAGAUGGAAUUGAAGUAAAGCUCUACUGCCUACAGAAAUGGUAUUCAUUGUCAGCAACAAGACACUACCAAGUAAGAGCCAACGCAAGGGAAUUCAUUCCCAUCCUGAGCCAUUAGGACAUAUUUCACCUUCUGAUUCUACUUGAACUAAUGAGAGCUAAUACUAACCACACUGGUGUGGCAGGACAAACCAAUUAUUCUUUUAGCAGUUUGCCAUAAAAAUACUUUGGGGCAAAGCAAAUUAUUUUUAUUUUGGACAACGUCAUUCAAGAACGCUGCGCCACAAGUUUGGUCUGAAAAAAACCACACACGUUUUGACUCUUUUUAUCUUGUAUCAGCGGCGGAGAGCUAUGUGUGGUUACAGUUUUUUCUGCUCCUCAUUUCUGAGAAGAGAGGAUCAUAUUUAAUCAUUGUGUCAGUUGGCACAAACACCAUGUUUGUAGUGAAAUGCUAAAAAAACAGCCCAUUUAUCUUUCCCUCAAUCAAGAUUCGUAUGAUAUGGGCUUCUAGCGUUAGAACCUAUCAGUAAUGAAACCUGUGAAGGCUUCAUCUACAUAGCUUGUUUACUGUAAUUUAUUGUAAAGCAUGAGGUGACCUAUCCUGCCUAAUAUAACAAACACAACUGCUCUAUUCUAUACCCAAAUGGUGGUGUUGCCUGGAAGACUGUUGCUUUGGCUCUCUAUUAUUAUUCAUUGUCAUAUGAAUGAAGAGUAGCUGGAGUGUGAAUUGUGAUAUUAAACAACACAUUUCAGCAUAUGUAAUAUCUACACAGCUGGCAUCAAAGUAUCACGUCUAUUGGUUGCAGCAGUGGGUGUAGCUAGGUGUAGCAGUAAUAGUACAUAGAUAAGGCCAGAAGGGACCACUGUGUUCACCUAGUCUGACCCACAUAACAUAAUACUGCCAGACAGUUUCACCCAAUUUUUCCUGCAUCUAACCCAUAACUUAUAGUCAAGUUGCAGCAUAUCUUUUGUGACAUUGCAUUUAGUGGUAUUACAGCAUAUGUUGUUCAAAGGAGCCUAAUUUGCCAAGUGAACCAGAUUGUGUUGUAUAACUGUCCUGUGUAUAUUAGUUAUUUUAUUUUUAAUAUUGUUUUUAUUGUUGUAUAACUUAGGAGCCCAGUCAUGGCCUGGUCCCCUGAUUGUGCUAGGUGCUGCACAAACACUGAACAAAAAGAUGGUCCCUGUCCCAAGUGCUCACGUUAUUUACCACUCCAUCAAUGUUUUGUCACCUGCAAACUUUAGCAGCACUUCUUUUAUAAUUUCUUCCAGAACAUAGAUAAAGCUAUUGAAUAGCAUUGAGCCAAUAACGGAAUCCUUGGGACCUCACUAGAAACAUUCCCAAUAGGUGAGGAUUCUUCAUUAAGGAUUACUUUUUUGCGAUCUACCAGUUAGCCAGGUUUUAAUCCAUUUCACAUGUGCUACAUCAAUUUUGUGUAGUUCUCUGCUUAGAGCAGAGUUGUUGAAGCCGCAGAAGGGAAGCUCAUGAAAGCAGUUGAAACUGUCAGCUGCAGUAAAACCAGCAGGUAUUCAAAGAGAGCAGGGACAGAGAGAAGCUGUGAAACACAAACAGCCAGAUGUGUUGAUUUAGACAAUGAGUUGAA